GUGCUUGCUUUGGCAGCACAUCUACUAAAACUGCAAUGAUACAGAGAAGGUUAACAUGGUCCCUGUACAAGGAUGACAUGCAAAUUCAUGAAGUGUUUCAUAUUUAA
ensembl:snRNA U6 U6 spliceosomal RNA